ensembl:snRNA U1 U1 spliceosomal RNA
AUACUCACCUGGCAAGGGAGAUGCUAUGGUCACAAAAGUGAUUUUUCCAGGAUGAGGUUUAUCCACUACACUCCAGAGAGCCUGACCCCUGUGAUUUUCCCAGAUGUGAAAAAGCUGGCAGCAUAAUUUUUGGUAGUGGGGGACUGUGUGUGUUUGUGUUUUCCCAUG